UCAGAGGUCAUUGUCCUACAGAAAAUAGCAUGAGUCAUGAUAUUGCGCUUUGUUGAAUAGUGUCUUCAUAGUUAUUUGACUUCAAACAAAACCUGGUGCUUUUAGUGGUUCUGGUCGGGGUGGCCGCCGGCUCCGGAGGAUUCUUCGGACGCAGGCGCGGCGGCGGAUACUACAGCGGCUUCCAGCACGGAGGCGGCGGAUACUACCCCGGAAACAGCCGCGGAUACUACCAUGGAAACGUCGGCGGAUACUACAGCCACUCCGGCGGAUUCGCUGGACACGGAGGUGUAUACCACCGUUGAAAGCUGACGCCCUGCUCACCAUAACAUCCAUCGAAAAAGGCGAUCUGUUUGACAGGAUUGUUCCAGGUCAUAACUACUACGAAUCUACUACAUAAUAUAAAAUACCGGAAAGCUA